GACGAACGCUGGCGGCGUGCUUAACACAUGCAAGUCGAACGAUGAAGCCCAGCUUGCUGGGUGGAUUAGUGGCGAACGGGUGAGUAACACGUGGGCAACCUGCCCCAAACUCUGGGAUAACUCCUCGAAAGAGGUGCUAAUACCGGAUACGAACUAGACAGGCAUCUGUACUAGUUGGAAAGUUUUUCGGUUUGGGAUGGGCCCGCGGCCUAUCAGCUUGUUGGUGAGGUAACGGCUCACCAAGGCUACGACGGGUAACCGGCCUGAGAGGGCGACCGGUCACACUGGGACUGAGACACGGCCCAGACUCCUACGGGAGGCAGCAGUGGGGAAUAUUGCGCAAUGGGCGAAAGCCUGACGCAGCGACGCCGCGUGAGGGAUGAAGGUCUUCGGAUCGUAAACCUCUUUCAGUAGGGACGAAGCGAAAGUGACGGUACCUAAAGAAGAAGCACCGGCUAACUACGUGCCAGCAGCCGCGGUAA
rnacentral:rRNA from 1 species